rnacentral:rRNA from 1 species
GACGAACGCUGGCGGCAUGCCUAAUACAUGCAAGUCGAGCGAACAGAUGAAGUGCUUGCACUUCUGACGUUAGCGGCGAACGGGUGAGUAACACGUAAGGAAUCUACCUAUAAGCGGGGGAUAACAUUCGGAAACGGGUGCUAAUACCGCAUAAUAUCUUCUUCCGCAUGGAAGAAGAUUGAAGGACGGCUCUGCUGUCACUUAUAGAUGACCUUGCGGUGCAUUAGUUAGUUGGUGGGGUAACGGCCUACCAAGACGAUGAUGCAUAGCCGACCUGAGAGGGUGAUCGGCCACAUUGGGACUGAGACACGGCCCAAACUCCUACGGGAGGCAGCAGUAGGGAAUCUUCCGCAAUGGGCGAAGGCCUGACGGAGCAAUGCCGCGUGAGUGAAGAAGGCCUUCGGGUCGUAAAACUCUGUUAUAAGAGAAGAACAAAUUGUAGAGUAACUGCUACAGUCUUGACGGUAUCUUAUCAGAAAGCCACGGCUAACUAUGUGCCAGCCGCCGCGGUAA